GUGGGGAAUUUUCCGCAAUGGGGCGAAAGCCUGACGGAGCAAUGCCGCGUGGAGGUGGAAGGCCUACGGGUCGUCAACUUCUUUUCUCGGAGAAGAAACAAUGACGGUAUCUGAGGAAUAAGCAUCGGCUAACUCUGUGCCAG
rnacentral:rRNA from 1 species